AUGUCCGAGGAAUCACUUGUGCAUGUUGUAUCUAGUGAGGAGGAGGCAAGAGAAAGGAAAAAGAACAAGAGGCGAAGAGCCAAUGCUCUUGUUAGGAUGUCAUCGGAUGUUUGGGCCCAUUUUCACAAGGUCAAAGAGCCAUCGACGGAGCAUCCGGGAGAGAUUGUGUUGAAGGUUGUUUGUAAUUAUUGUCCCAAAAAGAGGUAUGCGUAUACGCAAGGUGGCAGCACCUCAACUAUUGGAAGGCAUAUCUUAAAAUGUGAAGGUUUAAGGAACAAGAUCGCUAGGAAUGCCAUCCAAACAACUCUUGAACUGCGCAAAAUCAAUGAUCCAACAAGUGCUGCAACAAUGCACCCCUCUAUUGAGUACAACCAAGGAAUCGUCAAGGAGCUUAUUGCUAAGAUGAUAUGUGUGCAUGAGUAUUCAUUUAGAAUGGUUGAACAUGAGUGGUUCAACAUUCUGAUGAAGUGCAUGAAUCCAAAUUAUAAACCCAUUGGAAGGAAGGCAAUACGAGCCGAGUGCAUGAGGGUUUACAAGAACGAAAAAGAGGUGCUGAAAUCUCUCCUAAAGGGUGUGAGCUCCAUAUGUCUAACUACAGAUUUGUGGACAAGCAACCAAACCUUAUCUUACAUGUGUGUGGUUGCACACUAUAUAGAUGGGAAUUGGAACUUACAAACC
rnacentral:rRNA from 1 species